GGGGCUAUCAAGUCUACCAAACCCAACCAAACUCCGAAUUCCGUUGAGUGACGUCUGGGAGUGAGACGGCGGGAGAUAAGUUUCGUCGUCGAGAGGGAAAGAGCCCAGACUGCCAGCUAAGGUCCCUAAAUGUACGCUAAGUGGUCAAGGAUGUGGAAGAACUUAGACAACCAGGAGGUUGGCUUAGAAGCAGCCAUCCUUUAAAGAAAGCGUAAUAGCUCACUGGUCAAGUUUUUCUGCGCCGUAAAAUAUAACGGGGCUAAGCGUACUACCGAAGCUGCGGACUCCUCCGGGAGUGGUAGGGGAGCGUUCCAAUGGCUGUGAAGCAGGCUCGCGAGGGUCUGUGGAGCGAUUGGAAGUGCGAAUGCUGACAUGAGUAGCGAUAAAAGCGGGUGAAAAAACCCGCUCGCCGGAAGCCCAAGGUUUCCUGUCCAAGGAUCAUCCGGGCAGGGUUAGUCGGUGCCUAAGACGUAGCUGAAAAGCG
rnacentral:rRNA from 1 species